AAAGAUUCAUCGGCUGCGGAUGGCCAUGCGGCGCAUUAGCUAGUCGGCGGGGUAACGGCCCACCGAGGCGACGAUGCGUAGGGGUUCUGAGAGGAAGGUCCCCCACACUGGUACUGAGACACGGACCAGACUCCUACGGGAGGCAGCAGUGAGGAAUAUUGGUCAAUGGCCGGGAGGCUGAACCAGCCAAGUCGCGUGAGGGAAGACGGCCCUACGGGUUGUAAACCUCUUUUGUCAGGGAGCAAGAGGCGGGUCGAGACCUGCUGUGAGAGUACCUGAAGAAAAAGCAUCGGCUAACUCCGUGCCAGCAGCCGCGGUAAUACGGAGGAUGCGAGCGUUAUCCGGAUUUAUUGGGUUUAAAGGGUGCGCAGGCGGAGGCACAAGUCAGCGGUAAAAUCGCGGGGCUCAACCCCGCUCCGCCGUUGAAACUGUGUCCCUUGAGUGCGCGAAGGGUAGGCGGAAUGCGUGGUGUAGCGGUGAAAUGCAUAGAUAUCACGCAGAACUCCGAUCGCGAAGGCAGCCUACCGGCGCGCAACUGACGCUCAUGCACGAAAGCGUGGGUAUCGAACAGGAUUAGAUACCCUGGUAGUCCACGCAGUAAACGAUGAAUGCUAUCUGUCCGGCCGGAAUGACGGCUGGGUGGC
rnacentral:rRNA from 1 species